rfam:Arthrobacter crystallopoietes BAB-32 contig202, whole genome shotgun sequence.
CGGAAGGGUGCUCCUUCGCUAGGCAGAAUAACGGUCUCGACAACCACUAUUUUCCCAGCUCAGAGCACCCUUUCCCUGCUUAAACACACGUUUUCAAACGCUCACCCAUGAAAACCC